rnacentral:rRNA from 1 species
UACGAGGGGUGCGAGCGUUGCUCGGAAUUAUUGGGCGUAAAGGGUAGGUAGGUGGUUUCAUUUGUCUGGGGUGAAAGCCUUGGGCUUAACUCAAGAAGUGCCCCGGAAACGGUGAAACUCGAGUACUGGAGAGGGUCGUGGAAUUCCCGGUGUAGCGGUGAAAUGCGCAGAUAUCGGGAGGAACACCAAUGGCGAAAGCAGGUAACUGGACUAUUACUGACACUCAGCUGCGAAAGCUAGGGGAGCAAACAGG